GGUUCCCAUCGCCUUAAAGGGGGCUCGAGGGAGAACUCCUUCAACAACAGGGAUUUAAUAACGGGGACAAUCGGUGAAGGCGUUCCGCCUGAGAAUUUUGAAGUAGCUGAACGGGACGACACCGGUCAAGGAGGCAAAGCUGUCGUCACAAGCCGUGGCGGGAUCCUUGAUGUCGUCGGGGCCGAGGGACCAGAAGCGAUCGACGCCGAUGGUGGGGUAGUAAAACUUGUUGCGGGGAC
rnacentral:lncRNA from 1 species